rnacentral:tRNA from 1 species
UGGUCUAUGGUGUAAUGGUAACACAGCUGUUUUUGGUGCAGCCUUUCUAGGUUCGAGUCCUAGUAGACCAACAA